ensembl:lncRNA
CUUAUAAGGGGAGGAGGAAGGAAGAAGAGUAUCAGAGUGAUUAAAUGUGAUAGUUUUGACCAGCAAUUUCUGGCUUUGAAGAUGGAGGAAGGGACCAGGUACCAAGGAAUGCAUACUGCCUCUAGAAAUUGAAACAGGCAAGGAAAUGGAUUCUUCCCUGGGACCCCCAGAAAAGAAUGCUGCCCUGCUAACACCUUAAUUUUAAUCCAAGGAGACCUGUGUCAGACGUCUGACUUCCUAAACUGGGAUAUUGAUAAAUAUCAAGUUCUCCUGCUUCUUCAGUUGAACUCAGCAUCAUGAGGCUAUGUGUCACUGGAGUGAAAAAGCAGAGUCAGUGAGUACCAAGGUCUCAGCUCUAUGAAAUUGGUUCUACUCUGACUGAGGUUACCAUGGAAGAAAGGACUAUUUGACUUAAGCACAUCUCUAGCUUUGAUGGCAGAGAUGGCACUUCUCUAUCUUUCCCCACUGGGCAAGACACAACUUCUCAACUGAACAGAAUAGAGCAAAUCCAUGAAUUUGAAGAGUGCACUGAAGAAUUCUGAUGUAAAGGCAUUGUUACUGCAUCUCUGGUGAAUAUCUGUUUUCUGGGUGACUGUGAACAGUACUCAUUUACAUAACAAAGGAAAUGUCUACACUGUGAAAGGCACUUUGGGGGCAGAGCAGUGAAACAAAAAUAAAAUAAAAUUUAAAAAAUAAAUAAAUAAAAAU